AGUUGGGUCUAGAGUCUAAUUUAGAUGUAUCUUAUGAAUUUCAGAAUUAUUUAGUCACAGAAACCAUUCCAAUUUAUCUAAUUUGUAUUUUUAAUAGUAUGUUGGUUUUCUAUUUUAAUAAUUAAAACUACCAUUUUUAAUCAACUUUAGUUCCAACUUUAUUUUGCUGAGCUUGCUGAACUUGCUGAGCGCUAUUAAAGUUUGGAGUCAUACCAGUAAUGCUCAAUAAUCACUACAUGACAUAAUUGGUUUCAAUUUUAAAAGAAAAAUUUGAUGUUUAUGCUAAAACUAAGGUAAUGUAAAUUUAAGGCAUCUCUUGAAUGUACAAGUUUUGGUCAUUGUCUCUUAGCAGAUGAAUGAGAUGAGAAUUACGAAUGGAGGUGCUCCCAGUGAUUCCAGAGCUGUUCUUCCAAGAGAGUGUCAACUAGCACUGAGCCUGGAUGUAAGGAUGUUCCUUCUGGAUCAAGAAGCGAUUUGAUUGUGGAGCCUGGAUGUAAGGAUGUUCCUUCUGGAUCAAGAAGCGAUUUGAUUGUGGAGCCUGGAUGUAAGGAUGUUCCUUCUGGAUCAAGAAGCGAUUUGAUUGUGGAGCCUGGAUGUAAGGAUGUUCCUUCUGGAUCAAGAAGCGAUUUGAUUGUGCUUACUGUUGUACAAAGUUGGCAACCAAGUAUUGGGGAAGCAGUUGUGCACACAACGUGUCAGCGUAGACUCCUCUAACCAGAUGGAGAGCAGACAAUGAUCAAGCUCAUUUUACAGGCUGCCCUUUCAAAUGCGUCCAAGAUGAAGAAAAGGCCAUUUCGAGCAUUGACCAAUGCUGUGUAUGACCCGAUGUCUAGGAAAGGACCCCUAGGAUGCUCAGCGAAGGCUUUCUACAAACAAUUAAUCAUGUAACACUAAGGAAUCUGUCGCUUGUCAACAAAAUAAAAUGGCAUUGUAUUUUCAUCUGUUCGCCUGUUCAAUGCAGGGACCUAUUUGCCUUCUUUGCAAGGGGGGGGGGGGGGGUUAUGUAUAACCUGUAUUCCCUGGUCCGGGCAAGAAAGUAAUACUGUUCGCCUGUUCAAUGCACGGAGUAGUGUCGCCUUUUUUAUGGCCGGGGGGGGGGGGGGGGGGGG